rnacentral:rRNA from 1 species
GAUGAACGCUGGCGGCGUGCCUAAUACAUGCAAGUCGAGCGAACAGACGAGGAGCUUGCUCCUCUGACGUUAGCGGCGGACGGGUGAGUAACACGUGGAUAACCUACCUAUAAGACUGGGAUAACUUCGGGAAACCGGAGCUAAUACCGGAUAAUAUAUUGAACCGCAUGGUUCAAUAGUGAAAGACGGUUUUGCUGUCACUUAUAGAUGGAUCCGCGCCGCAUUAGCUAGUUGGUAAGGUAACGGCUUACCAAGGCGACGAUGCGUAGCCGACCUGAGAGGGUGAUCGGCCACCCUGGAACUGCGACACGGUCCACACUCCUACGGGAGGCCGCGGUAGGCAUGCUUCCGCAAUGGGCGAAAGCCUGACGGAGCAACGCCGCGUGAGUGAUGAAGGUCUUCGGAUCGUAAAACUCUGUUAUUAGGGAAGAACAAAUGUGUAAGUAACUAUGCACGUCUUGACGGUACCUAAUCAGAAAGCCACGGCUAACUACGU